UACGUAGGGCGCAAGCGUUGUCCGGAAUUAUUGGGCGUAAAGAGCUCGUAGGCGGCUUGUUGCGUCAGCUGUGAAAACCCGCAGCUCAACUGUGGGCUUGCAGCUGAUACGGGCAGGCUUGAGUUCGGUAGGGGAGACUGGAAUUCCUGGUGUAGCGGUGAAAUGCGCAGAUAUCAGGAGGAACACCGGUGGCGAAGGCGAGUCCCUGGACAACUCCUGACACUGAGGCACGAAAGCUAGGGGAGCAAACAGG
rnacentral:rRNA from 1 species